GCCCUUUCGCGAUGCGGCGAUCGCCCCUAUAUUCAGCGGUGCCGGGCAUUCGUCCGGCUAUGGCGAUAAACGUUCGAUGCAAUAAACCUUUCGGACCCGGGGGCGGUACCCGGCGCCUCCACCCGAUCCCAUCCGUGCCGAUAACGGCGCCGCGAUGGGAUCCGGCGGGGGCGAAAUAGGAUCGACGAGGGCGUAAAGAUCGGAUUUUUGCUCGGAAUGGUUCCGCCGUCAUCGGGCCGUAACAAUAGUUGCAAACGACAACUAUGCGGAAGCACGUCUCGCCGCGUAAGCGGUGCGAUAGCUUCGAAUCAAGCCCUGGGGGUUCGCACUCCUAGGCGGGGCCCGGAGGCGCCUGGCAACAGAAGCCUCCACU
rnacentral:tmRNA from 1 species